CCUACGGGAGGCAGCAGUGGGGAAUUUUGGACAAUGGGCGCAAGCCUGAUCCAGCAAUGCCGCGUGCAGGAUGAAGGCCUUCGGGUUGUAAACUGCUUUUGUACGGAGCGAAACGGUCUGCUUUAAUACAGUGGGCUAAUGACGGUACCGUAAGAAUAAGCACCGGCUAACUACGUGCCAGCAGCCGCGGUAAUACGUAGGGUGCGAGCGUUAAUCGGAAUUACUGGGCGUAAAGCGUGCGCAGGCGGUUAUAUAAGACAGAUGUGAAAUCCCCGGGCUCAACCUGGGACCUGCAUUUGUGACUGUAUAGCUAGAGUACGGUAGAGGGGGAUGGAAUUCCGCGUGUAGCAGUGAAAUGCGUAGAUAUGCGGAGGAACACCGAUGGCGAAGGCAAUCCCCUGGACCUGUACUGACGCUCAUGCACGAAAGCGUGGGGAAGCGAAACAGGAUUACGAUACCCUGGUAGUCCACGCCCUAAACGAUGUCAACUGGUUNUUGGGUCUUCACUGACUCAGUACGAAGCUAACGCGUGAAGUUGACCGCCUGGGGAGUCGGCCGNGAAGUUGAAACGUGAAGGAUUGACGGNGNGAGAGNGCGAGACGACGACGAGGAGGAGG
rnacentral:rRNA from 1 species